rnacentral:rRNA from 1 species
UACGAAGGUGGCAAGCGUUGUUCGGAUUUACUGGGCGUACAGGGAGCGUAGGCGGUUGGAUAAGCCCUCCGUGAAAGCCCCCGGCUCAACUGGGGAGUGUCGUGCGAUACGGGCGGACUGGAGGCCAGUAGGGGGAUGCGGAAUUCCGGGUGUAGUGGUGGAAUGCGUAGAGAUCCGGAGGAACACCAGCGGCGAAGGCGGCAUCCUGGACUGGUCCUGACACUCAGGAGCGAAAGCGUGGGGAGCGAGCCGG